GUCAAGAAGUGAUCGCGGGGUCUUACGAGGAGGACUUAAAAUCCUCCCAGUGUGGGUUCGACCCCCACUCGGGGCACCA
rnacentral:tRNA from 1 species